AACGAACGCUGGCGGCAUGCCUAACACAUGCAAGUCGAACGAGACCUUCGGGUCUAGUGGCGCACGGGUGCGUAACGCGUGGGAACCUGCCCUUAGGUUCGGAAUAACUCCCCGAAUGGGGUGCUAAUACCGGAUAAUGUCUUCGGACCAAAGAUUUAUCGCCUUUGGAUGGGCCCGCGUUGGAUUAGCUAGUUGGUAGGGUAAAUGCCUACCACGGCGACGAUCCAUAGCUGGUCUGAGAGGAUGAUCAGCCACACUGGGACUGAGACACGGCCCAGAAUACUACGGGAGGGAGCAGUGGGGAAUAUAGGACAAUGGGGGAAAGCCUGAAGGAGCAAGGACGCGUGAGUGAUGAAGGACUGAGGGAAGGAAAGCUCGUUUACACGGGAUGAUAAUGACAGUACCGGGAGAAUAAGCUCCGGCUAACUCCGUG
rnacentral:rRNA from 1 species